rnacentral:rRNA from 1 species
UACGGAGGGGGCUAGCGUUGUUCGGAAUUACUGGGCGUAAAGCGCACGUAGGCGGCUUUGUAAGUUAUAGGUGAAAGCCCGGAGCUCAACUCCGGAAUUGCCUUUAAGACUGCAUCGCUCGAAUCAUGGAGAGGUGAGUGGAAUUCCGAGUGUAGAGGUGAAAUUCGUAGAUAUUCGGAAGAACACCAGUGGCGAAGGCGACUCACUGGCCCGAUACUGACGCUGAGGCACGAAAGCGUGGGGAGCAAACAGG